UACGGGAGGCAGCAGUGGGGAAUAUUGCACAAUGGGCGAAAGCCUGAUGCAGCUAUGCCGCGUGUAUGAAGAAGGCCUUAGGGUUGUAAAGUACUUUCAUCGGGGAGGAAAAACAAAACUAAUAAUUUUAUUUCUUGACGUUACCCGAAAAAGAAGCACCGGCUAACUCCGUGCCAGCAGCCGCGGUAAUACGGAGGGUGCUAGCGUUAAUCAGAAUUACUGGGCGUAAAGAGCACGUAGGUGGUUUUUUUAAGUCAGAUGUGAAAUCCCUGGGCUUAACCUAGGAACUGCAUUUUGAAACUGAAAUACUAGAGUAUCGUAGAGGGAGGUAGAAUUCUAGGUGUAGCGGUGAAAUGCGUAGAUAUCUGGAGGAAUACCUGUGGCGAAAGCGGCCUCCUAAACGAAUACUGACACUGAGGUGCGAAAGCGUGGGGAGCAAACAGGGAUUAGUACC
rnacentral:rRNA from 1 species